CCUCCGGCCCCGCCGAGCUGCGCCCGCUGCCUUCACACCCCGGACAUCCGCGCCACACGGGAGACCUGCGGAGACAGCCCCCGUGAGGCUCCCGUUCCCGCCCCCUCCCGCCCCAGGGACCCAGACCCCAGGAGGCCUCACCCCAGAGCAAGAGAAAGACCACCAACAUGGACAUGAUGGUCGCGCUCACUCCGGUGCAGUGAGUAUCUGGGUGCUGGAUCCUGGAUCCUGUUCUAGAAGGAGACGCUGAGUUCUCCGCACUCUACCUGGAGCUGCUGAGGUCAAGUGGAGAGUGCCAGGGCUGCAGCCCAGCGAGCCCCUCCCUGUCACACCACACUGCACAUGUGACACCAAAGGCAUUUAUUGAGCAUCUACUGUGUGCCAGAUGCAAAGAAGACAGUGGGAUAACUGCGCAAGGAGCAUUCCGGGCAGAGGGAGCAGCCAGUGCAAAGAUGGGAGAUGGGGUUUCAGUGAGAAGGAGCAGAGACCAGGAGUUGAGGCGACUGCAGAGCGAUUGCAGAGCUCAGAGACGUGAUGAAGACCAGCUGGGCACUGCAGUGGCUCUGGCUUCUGCUGUGAGGGACGGGGAGCUGUGGAGACUCCCUCUGUUUGGUCCCAUUUCCAUAUUGCUGAGCACCUGCUGCAUGCUCUCUGUCCUGCUCAGAGCCAGUACUUGGAGGGAGGCUGUGUGUUCUGGGUGGACUGGGGG
rnacentral:antisense_RNA from 1 species